GUGCAAGUGCUUUGAAAGAAUUUGACGCCAAAUUACUCAGUGCGUGGUUUUUUGCUAAUAUAAAGUCUUUUGUUUAAUAAUUUUAUACCCUAAGGUUGUUAUUAGAAAUAGAAGUUCAAAUACUACGCAUGCGUGAAGGCAGAAAAAAAGACGCUUAAUAGAGGCAUAAUGCAUAUAGGCAUUAGGUCUGUUGGGGUUUACAUGGCAGUGGGAGGCAGCCGGCCGAACUUAUCACGCUUUUUUUCUUGUUUUUUUCGCUGAAAUCGAUUGAGAUAUGUUGGACCCAUUGAUAUCCACGCUGAGUAUGGAAUAUUUCGGUUUACAUUUGGUUAUGACUGCCGAACUCCCAAUUUAAAAACUUGGGUCAUGAAAUUCUAAGUGAGUCUCAUAGAAUGUGUAGAUUGAAUGUCGGGUGCAUCAGGAGGCAUAUUUUAAUCUUUUUUGAAGUUUUAACCCAACAGUGGUGCUGUGCGGCGAGCUUCAUGAUCGGAGAUUUUCUUUUUUUGCAACUGGAAAAGGAAAGCCAGAGGUCCCAGUAGACACCAACUGCUAUGGGACGCGUUUCGAAAUUCGUUUACAAUUACUCAUCAGCCAUAUAAGGUGUGAAGGCUUCUAGGGCC